rnacentral:rRNA from 1 species
UACGAAGGGGGCUAGCGUUGUUCGGAAUUACUGGGCGUAAAGCGCACGUAGGCGGAUUUGUAAGUCAGGGGUGAAAUCCCGGGGCUCAACCUCGGAACUGCCUUUGAUACUGCAAGUCUCGAGUCCGAUAGAGGUGAGUGGAAUUCCUAGUGUAGAGGUGAAAAUUCGUAGAUAUUAGGAAGAACACCAGUGGCGAAGGCGGCUCACUGGAUCGGUACUGACGCUGAGGUGCGAAAGCGUGGGGAGCAAACAGGG